CUUCCCUUUUAGUGAUUUUACUAGAAAACAGCCGUCCCUGUUUAGAAGAUGUUUUCAGAUGGAUUCCUGAAUUGUUUGCUGCAUUAUCUUCCCUGGUGCAGAAGUUAAGCUGACUGACAUCAGCGAUAAAGGGGUGCAGGAUCCAGAAAAGAGAAGCCAGUAGUGAACACUGACCGUGGACAACAGAUGAAACAGACAGACGAACUAUCGCAAGAAGGUGUGGAUACAACAGUACAUUGAGAGCCGAGAAGGAAGGACUGUGCUGGAGUACUAAUUCUGAACAUGGCACUAGGUCUUUCAUGAACCCAAGGAGCUGAUAUAUUUCCAGAAACCCACCCCAUGGUACAUGCUCAGAUGGGAAGGGCUUGAACCACCCAACUAGAAGCAGAACACAGACAGAUGUUUUCCUCAGGUGCUACCCCAGACGAUACUGCCAGGACCGCAAUUCAUUGUGCAGCUUGUGCUGACGGCGGCCUCACCGUACCCUGCACCACUUGCUGUGUCCCCUCCUGGAUUGCAGCAAACCCUGCAACAGGAUGCCCUUCGUGGUGACAAGCACUCCCAUCAACUGCCCAGAGUGUUAACCCUUUUCCUUGUACUUCUUCCCAGGAUGUUGCUAAGAAGA